UGACUUUGUGAAGUAAUCUAGGAUUUACUGAGAUUUCUCCUGAUGCCUCCAUCAGGAGAAAUCUCAGUAAAUCCUAGAUUACUUCUCCUGGAAA
rnacentral:pre_miRNA from 8 species